UCCUACGGGUGGCUGCAGUCGGGAAUUUUGCUCAAUGGGGGAAACCCUGAAGCAGCAACGCCGCGUGAGGGAUGAAGGCCUUCGGGUUGUAAACCUCUUUUCUCAGGGACGAUGAUGACGGUACCUGAGGAAUAAGCCACGGCUAACUACGUGCCAGCAGCCGCGGUAAUACGUAGGUGGCAAGCGUUGUCCGGAUUUACUGGGCGUAAAGAGCGCGCAGGCGGUCGAGCAAGUCGAGUGUGAAAGCCCCCGGCUCAACUGGGGAGGGUCAUUCGAUACUGCUCGACUCGAAGGCGGGAGAGGGAAGUGGAAUUCCCGGUGUAGUGGUGAAAUGCGUAGAUAUCGGGAGGAACACCAGUGGCGAAGGCGACUUCCUGGCCCGUUCUUGACGCUGAGGCGCGAAAGCUAGGGGAGCAAACGGGAUUAGAUACCCUGGUAGUCA
rnacentral:rRNA from 1 species